GGUCAAGUGAAGAAGCGCAUACGGUGGAUGCCUUGGCAGUCAGAGGCGAUGAAAGACGUGGUAGCCUGCGAAAAGCUUCGGGGAGUCGGCAAACAGACUUUGAUCCGGAGAUGUCUGAAUGGGGGAACCCAGCCAUCAUAAGAUGGUUAUCUUGUACUGAAUACAUAGGUGCAAGAGGCGAACCAGGGGAACUGAAACAUCUAAGUACCCUGAGGAAAAGAAAUCAACCGAGAUUCCCUUAGUAGUGGCGAGCGAACGGGGACUAGCCCUUAAGUGGCUUUGAGAUUAGCGGAACGCUCUGGAAAGUGCGGCCAUAGUGGGUGAUAGCCCUGUACGCGAAAAUCUCUUGGUCAUGAAAUCGAGUAGGACGGAGCACGAGAAACUUUGUCUGAAUAUGGGGGGACCAUCCUCCAAGGCUAAAUACUACUGACUGACCGAUAGUGAACUAGUACCGUGAGGGAAAGGCGAAAAGAACCCCGGAGAGGGGAGUGAAAUAGAUCCUGAAACCGUAUGCGUACAAGCAGUGGGAGCAGACUUUGUUCUGUGACUGCGUACCUUUUGUAUAAUGGGUCAGCGACUUAUUUUCAGUGGCGAGCUUAACCGAAUAGGGGAGGCGUAGCGAAAGCGAGUCUUAAUAGGGCGUCUAGUCGCUGGGAAUAGACCCGAAACCGGGCGAUCUAUCCAUGGGCAGGUUGAAGGUUAGGUAACACUGACUGGAGGACCGAACCGACUACCGUUGAAAAGUUAGCGGAUGACCUGUGGAUCGGAGUGAAAGGCUAAUCAAGCUCGGAGAUAGCUGGUUCUCCUCGAAAGCUAUUUAGGUAGCGCCUCAUGUAUCACUGUAGGGGGUAGAGCACUGUUUCGGCUAGGGGGUCAUCCCGACUUACCAAACCGAUGCAAACUCCGAAUACCUACAAGUGCCGAGCAUGGGAGACACACGGCGGGUGCUAACGUCCGUCGUGAAAAGGGAAACAACCCAGACCGUCAGCUAAGGUCCCAAAGUUAUGGUUAAGUGGGAAACGAUGUGGGAAGGCUUAGACAGCUAGGAGGUUGGCUUAGAAGCAGCCACCCUUUAAAGAAAGCGUAAUAGCUCACUAGUCGAGUCGGCCUGCGCGGAAGAUGUAACGGGGCUCAAACCAUACACCGAAGCUACGGGUAUCACGUAAGUGAUGCGGUAGAGGAGCGUUCUGUAAGCCUGUGAAGGUGAGUUGAGAAGCUUGCUGGAGGUAUCAGAAGUGCGAAUGCUGACAUGAGUAACGACAAUGGGUGUGAAAAACACCCACGCCGAAAGACCAAGGUUUCCUGCGCAACGUUAAUCGACGCAGGGUUAGUCGGUCCCUAAGGCGAGGCUGAAAAGCGUAGUCGAUGGAAAACAGGUUAAUAUUCCUGUACUUCUGGUUAUUGCGAUGGAGGGACGGAGAAGGCUAGGCCAGCUUGGCGUUGGUUGUCCAAGUUUAAGGUGGUAGGCUGGAAUCUUAGGUAAAUCCGGGAUUCUAAGGCCGAGAGCUGAUGACGAGUUGCCUUUAGGCGACGAAGUGGUUGAUGCCAUGCUUCCAAGAAAAGCUUCUAAGCUUCAGAUAACCAGGAACCGUACCCCAAACCGACACAGGUGGUUGGGUAGAGAAUACCAAGGCGCUUGAGAGAACUCGGGUGAAGGAACUAGGCAAAAUGGCACCGUAACUUCGGGAGAAGGUGCGCCGGUGAGGGUGAAGCACUUGCUGCGUAAGCCCACGCCGGUCGAAGAUACCAGGCCGCUGCGACUGUUUAUUAAAAACACAGCACUCUGCAAACACGAAAGUGGACGUAUAGGGUGUGACGCCUGCCCGGUGCCGGAAGGUUAAUUGAUGGGGUUAGCUAACGCGAAGCUCUUGAUCGAAGCCCCGGUAAACGGCGGCCGUAACUAUAACGGUCCUAAGGUAGCGAAAUUCCUUGUCGGGUAAGUUCCGACCUGCACGAAUGGCGUAACGAUGGCGGCGCUGUCUCCACCCGAGACUCAGUGAAAUUGAAAUCGCUGUGAAGAUGCAGUGUAUCCGCGGCUAGACGGAAAGACCCCGUGAACCUUUACUAUAGCUUUGCACUGGACUUUGAAUUUGCUUGUGUAGGAUAGGUGGGAGGCUUUGAAGCGUGGACGCCAGUUCGCGUGGAGCCAUCCUUGAAAUACCACCCUGGCAACUUUGAGGUUCUAACUCAGGUCCGUUAUCCGGAUCGAGGACAGUGUAUGGUGGGUAGUUUGACUGGGGCGGUCUCCUCCUAAAGAGUAACGGAGGAGUACGAAGGUGCGCUCAGACCGGUCGGAAAUCGGUCGUAGAGUAUAAAGGCAAAAGCGCGCUUGACUGCGAGACAGACACGUCGAGCAGGUACGAAAGUAGGUCUUAGUGAUCCGGUGGUUCUGUAUGGAAGGGCCAUCGCUCAACGGAUAAAAGGUACUCCGGGGAUAACAGGCUGAUACCGCCCAAGAGUUCAUAUCGACGGCGGUGUUUGGCACCUCGAUGUCGGCUCAUCACAUCCUGGGGCUGAAGCCGGUCCCAAGGGUAUGGCUGUUCGCCAUUUAAAGUGGUACGCGAGCUGGGUUUAGAACGUCGUGAGACAGUUCGGUCCCUAUCUGCCGUGGACGUUUGAGAUUUGAGAGGGGCUGCUCCUAGUACGAGAGGACCGGAGUGGACGAACCUCUGGUGUUCCGGUUGUCACGCCAGUGGCAUUGCCGGGUAGCUAUGUUCGGGAAAGAUAACCGCUGAAAGCAUCUAAGCGGGAAACUUGCCUCAAGAUGAGAUCUCACUGGAACCUUGAGUUCCCUGAAGGGCCGUCGAAGACUACGACGUUGAUAGGUUGGGUGUGUAAGCGCUGUGAGGCGUUGAGCUAACCAAUACUAAUUGCCCGUGAGGCUUGACCAU
rnacentral:rRNA from 1 species